rnacentral:rRNA from 1 species
AAUGGCUCACCAAGGCAACGAUGCGUAGCCGACCUGAGAGGGUGAUCGGCCACACUGGGACUGAGACACGGCCCAGACUCCUACGGGAGGCAGCAGUAGGGAAUCUUCCGCAAUGGACGAAAGUCUGACGGAGCAACGCCGCGUGAGUGAUGAAGGUUUUCGGAUCGUAAAGCUCUGUUGUUAGGGAAGAACAAGUACCGUUCGAAUAGGGCGGUACCUUGACGGUACCUAACCAGAAAGCCACGGCUAACUACGUGCCAGCAGCCGCGGUAAUACGUAGGUGGCAAGCGUUGUCCGGAAUUAUUGGGCGUAAAGGGCUCGCAGGCGGUUUCUUAAGUCUGAUGUGAAAGCCCCCGGCUCAACCGGGGAGGGUCAUUGGAAACUGGGGAACUUGAGUGCAGAAGAGGAGAGUGGAAUUCCACGUGUAGCGGUGAAAUGCGUAGAGAUGUGGAGGAACACCAGUGGCGAAGGCGACUCUCUGGUCUGUAACUGACGCUGAGGAGCGAAAGCGUGGGGAGCGAACAGGAUUAGAUACCCUGGU